rnacentral:lncRNA from 1 species
UUUUUUUUUCUUCUAAACGACAAUGAAUAGAACACUCACUUGGGACUGGUGCUCAUAAGGAUUCGGAAGACCAUCUUUGUCACGGCCACUUUUUUUGCACGGCCAGCUUGUCAGUCCCCAGCCAGUCCGAUCAAACACAGCAAAUAGAAAAUUUCAGCACACAGACACACACAGACACAGACACACACACACACACACACACACACACACACACACACACACAGAGAGAGAGAGAGAGAGAGAGAGAGAGAGAGAGAGAGAGAGAGAGAGAGAGAGAGAGAGAGAGAGAGAGAGAGAGAGAGAGAGAGAGAGAGAGAGAGAGCGCUCACAAUCUGCCCAAUCGCCCUAAAUUUUUUCUCUUGUUUUGGAUCGUCAUUAAAAAAUUGAAGAGUUGCCACCCUUUUGGCACUUGAUCUAUGCCAUCUAUUUGAAGUUUUUGAAUUUGAACCGUUAGAUUAUAAGCAUAUUCAGAAAUAAUAUUCUAAAAAUGGAAUAAAAGAUGCCAGAUGCCAUAUGCCAA